UACGGAGGGUGCAAGCGUUAUCCGGAUUCACUGGGCUUAAAGGGUGCGUAGGCGGGCAGGUAAGUCCGUGGUGAAAUCUCUGAGCUUAACUCAGAAACUGCCAUGGAUACUAUUUGUCUUGAAUAUUGUGGAGGUAAGCGGAAUAUGUCAUGUAGCGGUGAAAUGCUUAGAUAUGGCACAGAACACCGAUCGCGAAGGCAGCUCGCGAAGCCACAACUGACGCUGAGGCACGAAAGCGUGGGGAUCGAACAGG
rnacentral:rRNA from 1 species